rnacentral:lncRNA from 1 species
UGCCUCAACCCGCUUGUCCUGGGCUUUGUCCUGGUAGCAACGGCUUGGCUGACUCCUCAAAUCUGAUUGCAAAUCAGGCUUCCGUCAGCCCAGUCAUCUCGGUUGAUAAGAGUUGAGAGAAUUUUUCGACCUGAGUGAGCUACCAGUACAGUGAAAUAUAUUCUGGCUUCGUUGUCUUGGUUUUAAUAAAGAAUGAAAUUUAUUCGAAAA